rnacentral:rRNA from 1 species
CCUACGGGGUGCAGCAGUGAGGAAUAUUGGUCAAUGGCCGAGAGGCUGAACCAGCCAAGUCGCGUGAGGGAAGACGGCCCUACGGGUUGUAAACCUCUUAUGUCGGGGAGCAAAGCGAGUCACGUGUGACUCAUUGAGAGUACCCGAAGAAAAAGCAUCGGCUAACUCCGUGCCAGCAGCCGCGGUAAUACGGAGGAUGCGAGCGUUAUCCGGAUUUAUUGGGUUUAAAGGGUGCGCAGGCGGAGGUGCAAGUCAGCGGUCAAAUUGCGGGGCUCAACCCCGUACUGCCGUUGAAACUGCAGCCCUUGAGUGCGCGAGAAGUAUGCGGAAUGCGUGGUGUAGCGGUGAAAUGCAUAGAUAUCACGCAGAACUCCGAUUGCGAAGGCAGCAUACCGGCGCGCAACUGACGCUCAUGCACGAAAGCGUGGGUAUCGAACAGGAUUAGAUACCCGGGUAGUC